GGACCAAGCCCUGCCCAACGACGUCCUCUUCAGUAGCACGUACCCUUCUCUCCCCAAGUCGCUCCCGUUGAGGAGGCCUUCUUACACCUUAGGAAUGAAAUCGCUGCAUGGAGAGUUCUCGGCCUCGGACAGCUCCCUCACUGACAUCCAGGAGACCCGCAGGCAGCCUAUGCCUGACCCUGGCCUGAUGCCCCUGCCUGACACUGCUGCAGACUUGGAUUGGUCCAACCUGGUAGAUGCUGCCAAAGCCUACGAGGUCCAGAGAGCCUCGUUUUUUGCUGCUAGUGAUGAAAACCAUCGCCCCUUGAGUGCUGCAUCCAACAGUGAUCAGCUAGAGGACCAGGCUCUGGCCCAGAUGAAGCCUUACAGCAGGUUGGUCCCCGUGCGAGGGCAGCACUCUGCACCUUGUGUCACACCUGCCAGUGACUGCAUCUGUGGGGAGAGGAGAUGGAAGCCACACGGAGUAGCUGAGUGAAGCUCAUCACUGCAGGGCUAGACACCUUACAUUUUAGUCAGAACGCUUUGUAACUGAAUACUGUAGACAUAAUUAAACAAUUCUUGAUGACUUAUACGG
rnacentral:sRNA from 1 species